AAAAAAAUUUUAAAACAAAAGAACGGCAGUGUUGCCAUUUAAAUUAAUCGAAAAAAACUCAACCAGAAGGAAAUCUAAAUUCCCUUUGGUCAGCUGGACUUUCCUUUUGAAUUAACGUUGUUUUAUUUUUCUUUAAUUUGUGAGAUAAAGUUAAUAAAAAAUUAAAAGAACUCAAGACUCAAGUACCAGGGAGCUACAGUCAUAAUUCCAUCGAACGGAUCGGACGAACAUUGAGGAAAACGAACAAUCUUAUGCCAGUAAAGAAUUUCUCACUAUGGAUUCUCAUGCUUUAAGAAACGAGAUUUUUCGUCUACUCGUCAAUAAAGAUUCCAUUAAUAUGGAUAUCGUGCCAUUCAAUCCUAUUGUAAGAAAUUUAGUAAGGCAAACGGUCAAUAUUCAGUAUGGAUACACGCAAGUUGAUUUAAUGAAGUACCUGUUUUGGUUGAUCUUGCGGUCUUAAAGAUACCUUACCGUAGAAGAUUUUCGACCAAAUGUUACUGAUCUGCAAAUCUCACAUUCUCGGCCUGGAAUCACGGCCAAUCUGCAUUUAGAUUUUAAAUUUAUUCCAGAGUGUGGCAUUCACGUAGCCAGAUUAAUUAUGAGAGGGCGGUCGGUAAAUAUUCAGAUUGAUAACAGUCAGAUCCCAACUGUGUCAAGCUUUAAACAAGAUGAAACGACGCGGUUUGAAUUCAUCUCAAGAAUUUUCACCGCCAUAAACAACGAAUUUGGAACAUAUAUAUUAAAUAAAUUAGAUUUAGGUCUAUCCGUUAUUCCAAGCCGAUCCUCAUCGCAGCGAAGUUCGGGGGCUAGCACGCCGGGAAUGUGUAUUUUUAGAUUAAAAAUGUAAACUAAAGUUUGAGUACUUAGAUUAAUUCAUUGUGAUUCUCCAUACAAGUUGUGUAUGUACUCUGUGAUUUACUAGAUAGUUUUGCUUAAUGAAUAUUUUAUCGAUAGUUUAAUAACUGUUUUCUUUAAUCUUUUUCACUUUCCGCUUUUGAUUUAUUGUAAAAAUAGGAAACACGUAUGUACGUUCCCUAUUUUUUUUAUUUUUUUGUAAAGACUGAAUUAUGUAAGUAUUGUUUAAAUAUAGUAUUUGUUU